AGACGUCUACAUUAGAUACCCCCGUAGCCCCAGCCGUAAACUAUGCGCGUUAGGUGUAUCGGUGACCACGAGUUACCGAGGUGCCGAAGGGAAACCGUGAAACGUGCCGCCUGGGAAGUACGGUCGCAAGGCUGAAACUUAAAGGAAUUGGCGGGGAGCACCACAACGGGUGGAGCCUGCGGUUUAAUUGGACUCAACGCCGGGAAGCUCACCGGAUAAGACAGCGGAAUGAUUGCCGGGCUGAAGACUCUGCAUGACUAGCUG
rnacentral:rRNA from 1 species